rnacentral:ncRNA from 1 species
UUGUGACAACGGCAAACUAAAUGAAAGUUUAGGACGCAAAGCUUCCGGUCUAACGAGUUUCUCAAUGAUAGCGGGGCUACCUCA